rfam:Pelecanus crispus contig79015, whole genome shotgun sequence.
GCUGGGUUAGCUCAGUUGGUUAGAGCAUGAUGCUAAUAACACCAAGUGCACAGGUUCAAUCCCUGCUUACUGCA